rfam:Myotis davidii contig230104, whole genome shotgun sequence.
GGCGGUUCUCAGGUGAUGCACCCCGGAAUCAGGCUCCCUCCUCUCUGGUUCUGGGUGCAUCACCUGAGAACCACC